rnacentral:rRNA from 1 species
AUUGAACGCUGGCGGCAGGCCUAACACAUGCAAGUCGAGCGGGGUUUUCGGACCUAGCGGCGGACGGGUGAGUAACGCGUAGGAAGCUGCCCGAUAGAGGGGGAUACCAGUUGGAAACGACUGUUAAUACCGCAUAAUGUCUACGGACCAAAGUGUGGGACCUUCGGGCCACAUGCUAUCGGAUGCGCCUACGUGGGAUUAGCUAGUUGGUGAGGUAAUGGCUCACCAAGGCGACGAUCUCUAGCUGGUUUGAGAGGAUGAUCAGCCACACGGGAAAUGAGACACGGUCCAGACUCCUACGGGAGGAAGCAGUGGGGAAUAUUGGACAAUGGGCGCAAGCCUGAUCCAGCCAUGCCGCGUGUGUGAAGAAGGCCUUCGGGUUGUAAAGCACUUUCAGCGAGGAGGAAGGGUGGUGUGUUAAUAGCACAUCAUUUUGACGUUACUCGCAGAAGAAGCACCGGCUAACUCUGUGCCAGCCGCCGCAGUAAAAC